rnacentral:tRNA from 1 species
GGAGGGGUACCCAAGCGGCCAACGGGGGCAGACUGUAAAUCUGCUGGCUUAUGCCUACGUAGGUUCGAAUCCUACCCCCUCCACCA